UCUAACUGGAUGGCUCAGUUGGUAAAAGCACAAGACUCUUACAUCUCAGGCUCAGGGUUCGAGUCCCAUGUUAGGGAA